AAGUCGUAACAAGGUUUCCGUAGGUGAACCUGCGGAAGGAUCAUUAAAGUGUUUCGGAGCCUGGCUCGGGCAUCUCACCUCGAGGUGUCGGUGUCAGCGCCCCCACACGUGUUUACUCAACUUGGUUGCCUUGGUGAGCCUGCCCUCGUGGCUGCCGGGGAUGCCUCACGGCGUUCCGGGCUCGUGCUCACCAGUGGAUCAUUUGAACUCUUCUGUGAAAAUAGUCAGUCUGAGCAUUAUGCAAAUUAAAUAAAACUUUCAACAACGGAUCUCUUGGUUCCG
rnacentral:misc_RNA from 1 species